rnacentral:rRNA from 1 species
UACGUAGGGACCAAGCGUUGUUCGGAUUUACUGGGCGUCAAGGGCGCGUAGGCGGCGCGGUAAGUCACUUGUGAAAUCUCUGAGCUUAACUCAGAACGGCCAAGUGAUACUGCAGUGCUAGAGUGUGGAAGGGGCAAUCGGAAUUCUUGGUGUAGCGGUGAAAUGCGUAGAUAUCAAGAGGAACACCGGUGGCGAAGGCGGAUCUCUGGGCCGUAACUGACGCUGAGGAGCGAAAGCAUGGGGAGCGAACAGG